UUGUGAACAAUGUCUUACUUGAUUUUCCGGAUCUCGAGCGGGCCUCCGGUGACAUGGUAAACAGUUACUCUCUGAUCCCAAUAUAUUCUCUGAUCAUGUCAACAACGUCUUGAUUGACACUGUUUUGAUCAACAAUAACGACAACAACAACAAAGUCUUUAGUCCCAAACAAGUUAGGGUAGCUAGAGGUGAAAUCCUUAAGAUCUCGCUGUUAGGAAAGCAACUUAUCUUUAUUGAAGGCCCAAGGGGCAUAUAUAUAUUACACAUGACUUUGUUAGGAAAGCAACUUGUCUAUAUUGAAGGCCCAAGGGGCAUAUAUAUAUAUAUUACACAUGACUUGAUGUGCAAGGAAAGUAAAGAUAGACUAAUAAGGACUCCUAGACUAAUACUAAUAGACUAAUAAGGACCCCCUCAAAUGCAAAGUGUAUGCAAUAGCAUUGCAUUUGAAGAAGUGUAAUACUAAAAAAAAAAUGAUAAUCCAAAUCCGCGUCUUGAGAGUGUCGUCGUAGCAUGAAGAGUCUUCCCCCCCUCAAAUGCAAAGUGUAUGCAAUAGCAUUGCAUUUGAAGAAGUGUAAUACUAAAAAAAAAAUGAUAAUCCAAAUCCGCGUCUUGAGAGUGUCGUCGUAGCAUGAAGAGUCUUCAAAACUUGUCGAGUCGCCGAAGGAGAGAACGAAGAGAUGGCACAUCAGAGGUAGACACUGCAUCACUUGAAGAUACAAGAUAAGUAUCAAGAGAAGAUGGGUUGUCAAAAGAAGAUGGCACAUCAAGAGAAUAAAGCAUUGUGCAGAAAAUCAUAGUCCACGACAACCGUCGGCGAAAGAAGCUCAGCGGAUAAGGCACGAUGGACGUAGAACGACAAUGCAAAAGAAGUCCAGAAAAUCUUAUAGAAAACAACAAGGGCAAAUAGGCCACAAAAGUUGCAUAGAAAGGAUCAGGACCGGAGAAAGGCUGACGGACUAAGGUAUGGUGGACUCGCAUGGCAUGAGAAAACACAAAAUAUCAACGGAUUUGGUGGACGCAGCGGAAAACAAAGAAAACUAGAAAACACACACUAGAUUAGGGAUGAUGGCAGCGGAAGAGAAAAAAAAAGAUCAUGGCGGCGAAGGCCAAUUCCAACCAGAGUGUGCGUAAGACGGUCCUGGCUGUGUAGAAGGUGGUUGCUCAGUGCGGGAAGUCUGAGUCAGAAUACCAGCAGUACCCGUCGAGGAAGAACCUGAAGUAGCGAGCAGACGCUUAAGUUGCAGAAUAUCCUGCUCAGUCAAAGCGAUGGCUGAAGCUGUCGAGGUAGAUGACGAAGUCUCUGUAGAUGAUGAUUGCGCCUGACGCAAGUGUUUCUUCUUCGUGUAGCAGUGGGACUUAAUAUGACCAUCAUUGUUGCAGUAGCCACAAUGUGAACGGGGGCGACCUGAGCCUCCAGAAGGAGUGGGCAAGAGCGGCGGAGCACUCGAGUGAGAAGGGGUCGGUGCAGCAGGGGGCGUAGAAGUAGCCCGAGCAGCGAGCACCGAGGGAACCUCCAGCAAACCAGCACCACGUAAGCGAGUCCCCUCAGCACGAAUCUCAGAAAGCGCCUCCAUGAGAGAAAUACAGCCACGAGCAAACAACUUGCACGCCGAGGCUCAAACUCCUUACGGAGCCGAGACAGGAACUCGUAGACACGAUGAAACUCCAAGUUGGUCUGGACAACCUGGCAACAGGGGCAAGUACAACAACCAGCAGUGCGGAGAGAAUCGAGCUGGCGCCAGAUAGCAGAACUCUGUGCAUAGAAGUCAUCAACAGUAGAGUCACCCUGCUGAAGAGCAUGCUCCUGACGAACCACGGAGAGGUAUAAGGCAUCACCAGAGGGCGCAUAGCGCUGACGAAGGCGAGUCCACAUCUCAAAGGCAGUAGGAAGGCCCAAAAACUCAGAGACAAACUGAGGCAGAACGCUAGCAGUGAGAACAGCUGCAGCACGAGCAUCAUCAUCAAGCCACUGGGUGUAAGCAGACAGAGCACCAUGAUACGUCUGAAGAGCCUCCUCAUAAGCCAAAGCCUUCUCAUCAUAAGCACGGAUAGCGACCUCAUCAGCAAGCUUAGUUGUAUCCUUUGCGGCCUGAGAAGCAUCCGCAGGAAGAGCCGGUGGGGUCGGCGGAGUGGGAGCCACGGGAGGAACUGGGCAUGGCGGACAGCAGACCUCGCCAGAAAGAAUACCCCAUAGACGGAUGCCACGCAUGUGAAUGCACAUGAACCCAAUGAACUCAGUGUAGUUACUACCAUCGAAGAUCACCGAACAACGAGGGACAGCAACAUAGCCGGAUGCAACAGACUUUUUUUUUUUGGAACUCAGUGGCGAGCCGCGUCCGCGUCUGACAGCAGGAUUGGAGACGACGUGGUAUGGUGAGAUGAGGCGUCAGAUCUGGCGGAGCCGUCUGAUGGAAACUGCCUCGAUCUGGAGAUGGGAAUCACGUCCGCUGGGAACAGCCUUGAUCUGCUGAUGGGAACACGUCCCUGCUGAUGGAACACGUCCCUGCUGGGAACAGCCUCGAUCUGUGGAGGGAACCACGUCCGCUGGGAACCGCUCGAUCGGGAGGCUCACGAGGCACGGGAGGAACCGCCUCGAUCGGACCGCUGCGAUCUGGCGAGCGACGGGAGGGACCACUCGAUCUGGCGAGCCACAGGAGGGAACCUCGAGGAGGACUCGAUCGAGACGAACGGGAGAUCGAGGACGAGAUUGGAUAGAAGCACGAGUUGCGCGUGCAUAAAAAAAAACCUAGGGCUCUAAUACCAUGUUAGGAAAGCAACUUGUCUAUAUUGAAGGCCCAAGGGGCAUAUAUAUAUUACACAUGACUUAAGGUGCAAGGAAAGUAAACAUAGACUAAUAAGGACUCCUAGACUAAUACUAAUAGACUAAUAAGGACCCCCUCAAAUGCAAAGUGUAUGCAAUAGCAUUGCAUUUGAAGAAGUGUAAUACUAAAAAAAAAAUGAUAAUCCAAAUCCGCGUCUUGAGAGUGUCGUCGUAGCAUGAAGAGUUCGCGACCAACUCAUGGUUCUGGCACAUGGGUGGCAAGUUUCCAAGCACUCGUCUCCAUGGCUAAUUCUUUGGUGAUACUCCAGUCGUUCAAAUCUCUAUUUACUGACUCCUCUCAUGUCAAGUUCGGUCUACACCGACCUCUUUUGACAUUAUCAGCACGCUUUAGCCGUCUGCUAUGCACUGGAGCUUCUGAAGGCCUGCGCUGAAUAUGCCCAAACCAUCAGACGAUGUUGGACAAGCUUCUCUUCAAUCGUGCUAUCCCAACUCUAUCUCGUAUAUCAUCAUUUCGGACUCGGCCCUUCCUUGUGUGUUCACACAUCCAUCUCAACAUGUGUAUCCCUGCCACACCUAAUUGUUGCACAUGUCGCCUUUUAGUUGGCCAACACUCAGCACCAUACAACAUUGCGGGUCGAACCGCCGUCUUAUAGAACUUGCUUUUUUAGCUUUUGAUGCACUCUAUUGUCCCAGAAAAUGCGAGAAGCUUGGCGUCACUUCAUCCAUCCGGCUUUGAUUCGAUGGUUCACAUCUUCAUCGAUAUCCCCACCCUUCUGCAACAUUGACCCCAAAUGUCGAAAGGUGUCCUUCUAAGGCACCAGCUGUCCAUCAAGGCUAACCUCCCCCUCCCCCUCGUGCAUAUAGUACUGAAAUUGCACCUCAUGUACUCGAUUUUAGUUUCACUAAGUCUAAAACCUUUCGAUUUCAUGGUUUGUGUCCAUAGCUCUAACUUCCUAUUGACCCUCGUCCGACAAUCAUCGACUAGCACCACAUCAUCCGCAAAGAGCAUACAUCAUGGGAUAUCUCCUUGUAUAUCUGUUGUGACCUCAUCCAUCACCAAAGCGAUAAGAUAAGGGCUCAAAGUUGACCCUUGGUCCACUCCUAUUUUAAUCGAGAAGUCAUCAAUGUCGCCAUUACUUGUUCGAACACUUGUCACAACAUCAUCGUACAUGUCCUUGAUGAGGGUAAUGUACUUUGCUAGGGACUUCCUAUUUCUCCAAGUCCCACCACUUGACAUUUCGCGGUAUCUUAACGUAGGCCUUCUUCAAGUCAAUGAACACCAUAUGUAGGUCCUUCUUUUACUCUUUGUAUCUCUCCAUAAGUUAUCGUACCAAGAAAAUGGCUUCCAUGGUCGACCUCCCAGGCAUGAAACCAAACUGAUUUUUGGUCACGCUCGUCAUACUUCUUAAGUGAUGCUCAAUGACUCUCUCUCAUAACUUCAUUGUAUGGCUCAUCAGCUUAAUUCCAUGGUAAUUAGUACAACUCUGAACACCCACCUUGUUCUUGAAGAUUGGUGCUAAUAUACUUCCUCUUCAUUCCUCUCGCAUCUUGUUUGCCCGAAAAAUGAGGUUGAAAAGCUUGGUUAGCAUACAAUCGUUAUGUCCCCGAGGCCUCUCCACGCCUCAAUGGGGAUACAAUCAGGGCCCAUUGCCUUGCCUCUUUUCAUCCUUUUAAAAGCCAACUUGACCUCAGACUCCUGGAUUCGCUGCGCAAGAUGCCAGCUAGUACCAUCAAAGGAAUCGUCUAGUUCAAUCGUAGAGCUCUCAUUCUCCCCAUUGAACAACUUGUCGAAAUACUCCCGCCAUCUAUGCUUAAUCUCCUCGUCCUUCACAAGGAGCUAGUCUGCUCCGUCCUUGAUACAUUUGACUUGGUCAACAUCCCUUGUCUUCCUCUCUCAGAUCUUGGCCAUCUUAUAGAUGUCCCUUUCGCCUUCUUUCGUGUCUAACCGCUGGUAGAGGUCCUCAUACGCUCGGCCCCUUGCUUUACUCACAGCUUGCUUUGCAGUCUUCUUUGCCAUCUCGUACUUCUCUAUGUUUGUCCGCACUCCUAUCCAGGUAUAGGCGCCUGAAACAAUCUUCCUUCUCCUUAAUAGUCUUUUGGACAUUAUCGUUCCACCACCAGGUAUCACUUCUACUUCCCUUGGACACUCCAUACUCCUUUGAGGCCACCUUACGAAUGCAAGUCGCCAUCUUCAUCCACAUAUUGUCUGCAUCACCUCCUUCCUCCCAAGGGCCCUCCUUAAUGAUCCUCUCCUUGAACGCCUAAGCUACCGCUCACCUGAGAUUCCACCACUUCGUUCUAGCUACUUUGGCGUGCUUGUCCCGCUGGACACGAAUCCGAAAGCGGAAGUCAGCAACCACAAGCUUAUGCUCAGGGACAACACUCUCUGCAGGUAUCACUUUAUAAUCAAGGCACACACACCUGUCUUCUCUUCUCGAGAGGAUGAAAUCAAUCUGGCUAGAGUGUUGACCACUACUAAAAGUAACUAGAUGUGAUUCUAUCUUCUUAAAGAGGGUGUUAGCUACGAUCAUGUCGUAGGCUAGAGCAAAGCUUAACACAUCUUCUCCUUCUUGAUUCCUGAUGCCAUAGACAUAGCCAAAGCCCCCAUGCACUCCUUCAAAACCGGUGUUAGAUGUGCCCACGUGGCCAUUGAGGUCUUCUCCCAUGAAGAGCCUCUCGCCAAUCGGUACACUCCUAACCAUGUCCUCCAGGCCUUCCCAGAACUCUCUUUGGUGUUCUCAUUGUGGCCUAAAUGCGGGGGAUACGAGUUGAUAACAAUGAGAAUUAAGUCCACAACUAUCAGCUUGACUAGGAGAAUCCAGUCCUCACGUCUCUUGACAUCUACCACUCCAUACUUGAGGGUCUUGUUGAUCAACAUGCCUACUCCAUUUUUGUUUGCAGCCGUCCCCGUGUACAACGGCUUGAAGCCGGUACCCUCCACCUCCUCGCCUUUUGUCCCCUCCAUUUGGUUUCUUGGAUGCAAAGGAUAUCAACACCUCUCCUCAUCGCUAUAUCAGCUAGCUCCCGAAGCUUACCUGUCAGGGACCCUACGUUCCAGCUAGCUAAGUGGCUUCUCCUUGGCUCGCUUCCUUACCCUUCGCACUCGUCGAGUAAAAUGCAAAGACCCUUGCUCAUUUUCCACUACACCCGUGCGUCGAUGUAGUGCACCACUAAGGAUGCGAUGAUCCGAUCCUUGCUCACUUGCCAUCAUAUCCAGAUCAAGAUACAGUGCGCCGCCAGGGGAUGACGGCCAGACCCUUGUCCAUUUGACACCACACCCGGGUUUCGAUGUGGCGCGUCGCUGAGAGGGUUAUGCCCCAAUGAAAAUCUUUUGGGUUUCAUCUCCAUAAGAGCGGCUAAGUUUUGACGUUGGCUCGUCAAGCCUAUCACAACCCUCCUCCUUUACCCGGGCUUGGGACCGGCUAUGUUGAGACAACAUAGUCAAUAUUGUCUUGAUCCCUCUAAUAUAUUCUCUGAUUCGGUCAUGUCAUGCGCUUAUUUCAACAUAAACUGAAUAUUAUUCAUUAUUGUAUAAUCUAUUAAUUUUGUAUGAAGAAAACAUGAUGCAUGACUGUCUGUAUAAUGAUGCCCACCAGUCAAACAUAGUAGGUGCUCCAGAUUUUACUCACUGAAUUGCAUCUUUUAAUUUGUGAUGAUAAACAAUUGGACCCUCAUUAGUAUUCGUAUGCUAUCUUUGCAGUUGGUACACCACUAAAGUGUUGUUGCUUUUGCCAUUUAAAUUUGACUACAUAGAACUAGGAUCCUACUGCAUGGAAUUUCUGGAUCAAAUCAAAACUACCUUUCUGCAAUUAACUUACUUUAUUUACAUGCUUUGAUGCUAGUUACCGGGAUUCCAUCACUCAUGUUUUCUUUCGCAUUAUGGAAUAAUAGCUACAUCAGAUCUUAUAUGUUGAAAUUUUACAGGUUUGGGAGGUUCGACCAAAGGCGAAAUUUAACAAAGGCGAUGCACUGGAUCAUUUAUACCGGUAUCUGCUUCAGCAUCUCCAGGUGGAAAGCUCGCAGGUUCUAGCAAUUCACAUCGGAGAUGAUACUACUGACGAGAACGCUUUCUCGGUAAGAUACUGAAAAGAUCAUCUAAAUUGCUCUCAUUUCUUAAAGUUCUGGUACUAAGAAUUUAUCCUACAAUCAGAUGCUCCGUGAGAAGGGGUAUGGAUUUGGGAUACGCGUCCAGACGGAGCCCAAGCUCACUGAAGCCACUUACUCACUUAAAGAUCCUUACGAGGUGAUGGGGUUUCUUAAGAAGCUAGUGAAAUGGAAAAAGCUUCUGUCAGGAAACAGGUCCAAAUGCAAUCGUAUAUGUUUCCACUAAAAUACUUCUGUACCAACCUCUGAUUCUUCACCACAGCAAACUGCAAGCUUCUGAUUCUCCUCCGGUGAUGUGCAUCUGUAACAGCACAUAUGUGUAAACUUCAUACAAUAAUAAUAAAUUAAGUCGUGAGAUAACAGAAUAACAUACCCAUACUUCAUUAAGCCCUGUGCAUCAGAGAGAAGAUAGCAGCCGCAUCGCCUGCCACCCGACGACGACGGCCCCGCCUCCCAACGCGUGCGCGCCGCACUUGGCCUCCUUCCGCGGUAUUGGUUCAUCGCGCGGCUUGGGUGGUGGGUGGGGUGCUGGUGGGGGCAUUUGACGGAUCCGACGCGGCGGAGAGGAUACGCUAUUCUAUGCUAUGGCGACGGGGACGGCAUGGGCAAAAUACAAAUCUGAUCCUUAGUCGCAAAAGAAUCACAAAUUGGGACUGCUCAGCUCACAUUG
rnacentral:lncRNA from 1 species